rnacentral:rRNA from 5 species
GGCGACCCCAGGUCAGGCGGGAUAACCCGCUGA